rnacentral:rRNA from 1 species
GAUGAACGCUGGCGGCGCGCCUAACACAUGCAAGUCGAACGAUUAAAGCACCUUCGGGUGUGUAUAAAGUGGCGAACGGCUGAGUAACACGUGGGCAACCUGCCCCUCUCAUUGGGAUAGCCACGGGAAACCGUGGAUAAUACCGAAUACUUCGGGACUUCCGCAUGGAAGACUCGAGAAAGCUCCGGCGGAGAGGGAUGGGCCCGCGGCCUGUUAGCUUGUUGGUGGGGUAAUGGCCUACCAAGGCAAUGAUGGGUAGCUGGGUUGAGAGACCGACCAGCCAGAUUGGGACUGAGACACGGCCCAGACUCCUACGGGAGGCACCAGUGGGGAAUCUUGCACAAUGGGCGAAAGCCUGAUGCAGCGACGCCGCGUGCGGGAUGAAGGCCUUCGGGUUGUAAACCGCUUUCAGCAGGGACGAGGCGAAAGUGACGGUACCUGCAGAAGAAGCCCCGGCUAACUACGUG